rnacentral:rRNA from 1 species
GACGAACGCUGGCCGCGUGCUUAACACAUGCAAGUCGAACGGAAAGGCCCUGCUUUUGUGGGGUGCUCGAGUGGCGAACGGGUGAGUAACACGUGAGUAACCUGCCCUUGACUUUGGGAUAACUUCAGGAAACUGGGGCUAAUACCGGAUAGGAGCUCCUGCUGCAUGGUGGGGGUUGGAAAGUUUCGGCGGUUGGGGAUGGACUCGCGGCUUAUCAGCUUGUUGGUGGGGUAGUGGCUUACCAAGGCUUUGACGGGUAGCCGGCCUGAGAGGGUGACCGGCCACAUUGGGACUGAGAUACGGCCCAGACUCCUACGGGAGGCAGCAGUGGGGAAUAUUGCACAAUGGGCGGAAGCCUGAUGCAGCAACGCCGCGUGCGGGAUGACGGCCUUCGGGUUGUAAACCGCUUUCGCCUGUAACGAAGCGUGAGUGACGGUAAUGGGUAAAGAAGCACCGGCUAACUACGUG